GGGGUAUACCUUCCACAGUCUCCAGUGAUUGAGAUACUCACUUCAUUGGGCAAAUCACACUUGCCUUAACAAAAACCUCGCAAACUUCUUGGAAUCAGCACUGUUCCUAUCACCUUCAACAUCAGGCAAAGUUGAGAGAACUAAUGGAAAAACUGGAUUCAAGCAGAACAAGAAUUAAUUACAUCAGACUAAAUGAACUAAUGAGGAUAAGCAUAAUUUUUGUGACUUUUUGUUUGAAAUAUUACUUUUUUUAAAUCUUUCGUUUUUCCAGAUUUAAGAAAACCUUUUUUUCCCCCUUCUUUUCUCUUAAGAUAUCUAUGACUUACAGCAAUUUGGUGAAUUAUACCUUUGUAAGCAGAAUUGAAACAAUUACUUUUUCUCCCUACCUUAUCCCUUCAGAAUUCAGAAAUUCUCAGUCAAUCACUCAACUUGGGCUCUUAAUGGCAGCAUUGACAGUGGAUUCUGUAUGCUUAGGGGCCAUGACGAACAAAACAACAUGGGAUUAAAUCAGGCACAAGAGGAAAUGAUGCAAUCAAGAGACACGGAAGACAUGAGAUGUGUGAGGCUGCUGAUGGUGUAACACGGCGUACUGUUUCACAGUAAACAUUUUUUU
rnacentral:lncRNA from 1 species